rnacentral:tRNA from 1 species
CAGGGAGACAAUAAAUUGAUUGUGAUGUCUAAGUUAUUUAUUCUUAGGCCGCAAUCCUGUCACCUUAAGGUCGAUCGGUACCUCAGAUUUUUGAAUUAAUUUUAUAAUUUAUUCUUUGAUUUCAGUUCCUAAACUUGUCUAGGUCACACCCAACAAAGUUUUCUCCUGGGCCAUUAGCUCAGGUGGUUAGAGCGCACCCCUGAUAAGGGUGAGGUCCCUGGUUCAAGUCCAGGAUGGCCCAUUCGUUGUUGGGGGUAUAGCUCAGUUGGUAGAGCGCCUGCUUUGCAAGCAGGAUGUCAGCGGUUCGAGUCCGCUUACCUCCACUGAAAACUAUCCUGAUAACUAAAUUUCUGGAGAAAAAAAUUGUAGAUGUGGCUUAGAUUUGUCUAUUUGAAAAGAACCUAGCUUCUUGUCAUCUUUUUAUAGUUGAUAAAAUGCUGGGCUCGCAUGGAUUAUUUCCAUGAGAAUUCAGUAGAACCUUGAAAACUGCAUAGAUUAGAAAGAAUAAAGCAUCUCAUGGAUGCAUAAUUCUGUUUUUUUAAUUUAGCCUUAAAACUAAAUUAUUUAAUUCUAGAAUUCAUGUUUAAUUCUUGAGUAAUAGCCGAGCACAAUUGAUUUUGUGAUUGUAUUUAA